UACGGGGGGGGCAAGCGUUGUUCGGAAUUACUGGGCGGAAAGGGCUCGUAGGCGGCCAACUAAGUCAGACGUGAAAUCCCUCGGCUUAACCGGGGAACUGCAUCUGAUACUGGAUGGCUUGAGUUCGGGAGAGGGAUGCGGAAUUCCAGGUGUAGCGGUGAAAUGCGUAGAUAUCUGGAGGAACACCGGCGGCGAAGGCGGCAUCCUGGACCGACACUGACGCUGAGGAGCGAAAGCCAGGGGAGCAAACGGG
rnacentral:rRNA from 1 species